rnacentral:rRNA from 1 species
UACGAAGGGUGCAACGUUGCUCGGAAUUAUUGGGCGUAAAGCGCACGUAGGCGGCUUUGCAAGUCGGAUGUGAAAUCCCUCGGCUUAACCAAGGAAGUGCAUCCGAAACUGCAGAGCUUGAGUACUUAAGAGGAUCGCGGAAUUCCCGGUGUAGAGGUGAAAUUCGUAGAUAUCAGGAGGAACACCGGUGGUGUAGACGGCUUUCUGGACCGUAACUGACGCUGAGACACGAAAGCGUGGGUAGCAAACAGG